rnacentral:rRNA from 1 species
ACUCCUACGGGAGGCAGCAGUGGGGAAUAUUGGACAAUGGGCGCAAGCCUGAUCCAGCCAUGCCGCGUGAGUGAUGAAGGCCUUAGGGUUGUAAAGCUCUUUUGUCCGGGACGAUAAUGACGGUACCGGAAGAAUAAGCCCCGGCUAACUUCGUGCCAGCAGCCGCGGUAAUACGAAGGGGGCUAGCGUUGCUCGGAAUCACUGGGCGUAAAGGGCGCGUAGGCGGCCUUGUAAGUUGGGGGUGAAAGCCCGUGGCUCAACCACGGAAUUGCCUUCGAUACUGCUUGGCUUGAGUGUGGUAGAGGUUGGUGGAACUGCGAGUGUAGAGGUGAAAUUCGUAGAUAUUCGCAAGAACACCGGUGGCGAAGGCGGCCAACUGGACCAUCACUGACGCUGAGGCGCGAAAGCGUGGGGAGCAAACAGGAUUAGAUACCCUGGUAGGAUAGCG